UAGCUACGGGAGGCAGCAGUGGGGAAUUUUGGACAAUGGGCGCAAGCCUGAUCCAGCCAUGCCGCGUGUCUGAAGAAGGCCUUCGGGUUGUAAAGGACUUUUGUCAGGGAAGAAAAGGAUAGGGUUAAUACCCCUGUCUGAUGACGGUACCUGAAGAAUAAGCACCGGCUAACUACGUGCCAGCAGCCGCGGUAAUGCUA
rnacentral:rRNA from 1 species